AUUCAAGAAAUACUGUUUUAUCAUUUUGAACUUUAAUACCGUGAUAGGAAAUAGGGUGAGGGGUCCUUACUUGUUUUCGGGAUCCGAAUACGAUUCACAGUGCGCCUGCAGGCUGUCCCUAAUUUUCCCCUGAAUUUUUUCCGGGGAACUGAAACACGCUAACAGUACCUGCACGGGUUCCAAAAAAAAUCCAAAUUAGGCCCAGGGCCUCUUUCGGCCCAAAUCGCAACUCCGGCACG
rnacentral:lncRNA from 1 species